GGUUACAUGGAAUGGCUCUGUUAGGUACAGACAAGCCAGGUUUCCAGAUUUUAGUCUCCGGCCAUCUCCCAAAGCAGCGCAUUGGUCUUCCUGUGCCAUGUGCUCUCUGUCAGAUUCUGUGAGACCCUGAAGGCUCAAGAUGUUCUUCAAGGAAAGGGCCCCAUAGUCACGUUCUUUUAGAAUAUUAGAAAACUAUAUGAGGACAGAAGUUGGAAACCAGCUUGGGGACACUCGUGUAAACAACCAAAUAAAAGAGUAACCCACACUUUUUUUGGUAAAGCCCUUUGUGGCAGGACAUGGGAUUUCCCCCCAAGGAACAGGUAGGGGGUUGAACGGUGCCCCACAAAAACCCCAUGUCUUAACCCCUGGGACCUGUGAAUGUGACCUCAUUUGCAAAAAGGUCUUUGUAGGUAUGAUUAUGGAUUUUGAGAUAAUCAUCCCGGAUUUAGGGUGGACCCUAAAUGACCAGUGUCCUCCCAGGAGAACAGCUGAGGGAGAAGCCACGUGAGCAUGGAGGCAGCGACAGGAGGGACUCAGCCCCAAGCCCAUGAAAGCUAGAGCCCCCGGAAGCUGGAAGGGGCCGGGGAGGACCCUCUCCUCGAGCCUUUGCAGGGAGCGUGGUGCUGCCGACACCUGGAUUUCAAACUCUGGCCUCUGGAACCAUGAGAGAAUAUGGUCAUUUGUUGAGGCAGCCCUAGGAAACUGACUCAGGGCGCUAGCCUAGAUGUCAGGAAUCCCACUCAUUCUGGGGCUGGGUUUGCUUCACGUCUAAAAAAGGAGAAGGUUGGGCCACAGAACCUAAAGUUUCUUUGUAGUGUAGACAGUUUCUGACCGCAUUAGGUUGUCUGCGUAAGAGCCCCCUCGAUGGAGGCCAGGCUGGGACGAAGGCAUCUCAGGCUGUCUCUAUGCUUUCCCACAGCUCAGCUCCUCUCUCCGCUCUUAUCGGAGUGCCCUCUGGUCCCUGCGGUCACCUGCUGGCUCUCCAUGCGUGCUGGUGUGAACAACAUGACCUUUCUAACCAGAAGGAACAAUCCUCCCUCCGAAAAGCUGCUGACACCAAGAGAUUCCCUGAUGAGCCACCUGCCCGCCGAACCCCAUCGCCACCCAGCCUGGGGCAAGGAACUUACUGGCUCGUGUAACCGAACCGUUAAUGAAGCUGCAGUACAGAGGCCCAGGAACCUACUGGAUCGGGGGUUCCAGCAGAGACUUGCUCCACGCUGGCCUCAUUGUGGCCUUGUGCUGAGGAGGAACCAGACCUCAUUGUGUCUCUGCCCACCAAGGGCAGAUAUAGGAAAAGGCUCUGACUGGCCCCACGUGGGUCAGGCCCCUGGCUGCAGACCAAGGAGGAACCAGCAUUUGGAAAACACUAUUAGUGCCCACUUAGACCGUUUGCGUAGAGCGGGUGAAAAGUAUAGCGAGAGGGACACCCAGGUGGCUCAGGGAUUGAGUGUCUGCCUUUGGCUCAGGGUGUGACCCCAGAGUCCCGGGAUCGAGUCCUGCAUCGGGCUCCCCGCAGGGAGCCUGCUUCUCCCUCUGCUUGUGUCUCUGCCUCUCUCUCUCUCUCUCUCUCUCUCUCUNNNNNNNNNNNNNNNNNNNNNNNNNNNNNNNNNNNNNNNNNNNNNNNNNNNNNNNNNAAAAAAAAGAGGCAGGAGAGGGUUGCUGAACAGGUGGACCAAUGAGUACUGUCCACGGGGUACCCUCACUUUCUG
rnacentral:lncRNA from 1 species